UACGUAGGGGGCAAGCGUUGUCCGGAAUCAUUGGGCGUAAAGAGCGUGUAGGUGGCUCGGUAAGUCCGCUGUGAAAGUCCAGGGCUCAACCCUGGAAAGCCGGUGGAAACUGUCGAGCUCGAGUCCGGAAGAGGCGAGUGGAAUUCCUGGUGUAGCGGUGAAAUGCGCAGAUAUCAGGAGGAACACCAAUGGCGAAGGCAGCUCUCUGGUACGUGACUGACACUGAGACGCGAAAGCGUGGGGAGCGAACAGG
rnacentral:rRNA from 1 species